ACUGCGCCUCGCCUGGUGACCCGGCCAGCGGCAGCGGACACCCAGCGCGCCCUCUUUCCCUCUCCCCGACUCGGAGUGUCGGGACGGCUGGCGCUGGUCGAUCCAGAGCGUCCGUGGACGCGGGAACUCAGGAGCCGGAGUGUCCAUACGAGUGCAGUGACCGCGAGAUUUGAGUGUCCGCACCUAUAACGAAUUCACUCAGAAGUGUCGGCACCUUUGGGAGACUAGUUUGAAGUGCCGGAUCAAAGGUCUGCUUCACGACAGGUUUCAGGUCCACAAAGCCAGCCGUCUUUCGUCACGAGAGAGAAGCUCGACAGAAAAGCGACUCUAAACGACUUCUGGCUUGAAGAUGGCUAUUCGUCAGGAAGACGUUUCGGUGGACAUUCCUCGGUUUGCUGAGAUGAACAAUCUCACCGCCGGCACGGAAUGCGAAAUUUUGUUUGCCACCGAUGACUGGUUUGCUGCCGCCGAAAACCUGACCAAGGCCACGGAGCCGAUUUUCAAGGAGGGCCUCUUCUCCUCCGAAGGGAAGUGGAUGGACGGCUGGGAGACACGCCGCAAGCGAAUACCAGGCCACGACUGGUGCAUCAUCAAACUGGGUAAGGG